UGGGGAAUCUUCCGCAAUGGACGAAAGUCUGACGGAGCAACGCCGCGUGAGUGAAGAAGGUUUUCGGAUCGUAAAACUCUGUCUUUUGGGGCGAACGUGAGUAUGGUGAACAAUCAUAGUCAGUGACGGUACCAAAGGAGGAGCCACGGCUAACUACGUGCCAGCAGCCGCGGUAAUACGUAGGUGGCAAGCGUUGUCCGGAAUUAUUGGGCGUAAAGAGCGCGUAGGCGGGAUAGUCAGUCUGUUGUAAAGUGCGGGGCUCAACCCCGUGAUGGCAAUGGAAACAGCUAUUCUUGAGUGCAGGAGAGGAAAGUGGAAUUCCCAGUGUAGCGGUGAAAUGCGUAGAUAUUGGGAGGAACACCAGUGGCGAAGGCGACUUUCUGGACUGUGUCUGACGCUGAGGCGCGAAAGCCAGGGGAGCGAACGGGAUUAGAUACCCCGGUAGUCCUGGCCGUAAACGAUGGGUACUAGGUGUGGGAGGUAUCGACCCCUU
rnacentral:rRNA from 1 species